AGAGUAUAAGGUUAUGACGCAGAUACAGAAAGACUCCUCAGGCUUAUCACCUCGUGCCAGAUUUAAAAGACUACCAUUGUCUUUUGAGUUGGUAAUAAUUGAGGCUGAGUUUGGAAUAUGGCCGAGACUCAUAGUAUAAGGUUAAAACAUAGAUGCCAAGAGAUUCCUAGUAUAAGGUUAAGACGCAGAUACAGAAAGACUCAUCAGGCUUAUCACCUCGUGCCAGAUUUAAAAGACUACCACUGUUUUUUGAGUUGGUAAUAAUUGAGGCUGAGUUUGGAAUUUGGCCGAGAGAGACAGAGUAUAAGGUUAAGACUCCUCAGGCUUCUUACAUCGUGCCAGAUUUAAAAGACUACCAUUGGUUUUUUUUUGAGUUGGUAAUAAUCGAGGCUGAGUUUGGAAUAUGGCCGAGACUCAUAGUAUAAGGUUAAAACAUAGAUGCCGAGAGAGUCUGAGUAUAAGGUUAUGACGCAGAUACAGAAAGACUCCUCAGGCUUCUCACAUCGUUCCAGAUUUAAAAGACUACCACUGUUUUUUGAGUUGGUAAUAAUUGAGGCUGAGUUUGGAAUUUGGCCGAGAGUGUCAUAGCGUAAGUUUAGGACGUAGAUUCAGAAAGAUUUCUCAGCCUAUUGUCGCUAUUAUAAGAAACUUUCGCUUCUCAUAUCGGCUAUUUCUGAAGGUCAAAGAGGGGGUCAGUCGGGUUCUAAUGAGUGUUUCUUGAGGUUCACGGUACAGAAGAAUGGUCAAACUAUCAUCAGGGUCAUAAAACUACUACUGGAAAUGACCCAAACUCCUACGACAGCCUUGCCAAAUUAUGUUCUUCUAGGUUCAUGGUACAGAAGAAGGGUCAAACUACCACCAGGGUCAUAAAACUACUACUGGAAAUGCCAAAAACUCCUACGAAAGCCUUGUCAAAUAAGUUCUUUUAGGUUCACGGUACAGAAGAAGGGUCAAACUACCACCAGGGUCAUAAAACUACUCCUGAAAAUGCCAAAAACUCCUACGAAAGCCUUGUCAAAUAAGUUCUUUUAGGUUCACGGUACAGAAGAAGGGUCAAACUACCACCAGGGUCAUAAAACUACUCCUGGAAAUGCCAAAAACUCCUACGAAAGCCUUGUCAAAUAAGUUCUUUUAGGUUCACGGUACAGAAGAAUGGUCAAACUACCACCAGGGUCAUAAAACUACUCCUGGAAAUGCCCAUAACUCCUACGAAAGCCUUGUCAAAUAUGUUCUUCUAGGUUCAUGUUACAGAAG